UACGGGGGGGGCAAGCGUUGUUCGGAUUUACUGGGCGUAAAGGGCGCGUAGGCGGCCACCGCAAGUCGACUGUGAAAUCUCCGGGCUUAACCCGGAACGGUCAGCCGAUACUGCGGGGCUAGAGUGCAGAAGGGGCAACUGGAAUUCUCGGUGUAGCGGUGAAAUGCGUAGAUAUCGAGAGGAACACCUGCGGCGAAGGCGGGUUGCUGGGCUGACACUGACGCUGAGGCGCGAAAGCUAGGGGAGCGAACGGGG
rnacentral:rRNA from 1 species